UGCUGGCCCUYUCGGGGGCAUGUGCACACCCACCAUCCUCAUCUCUCCACCUGUGCACCUCUUGUAGACCUGAAUUGACUUUCCGAGGCAACUCGGUCGGGAAGAUUGCUGUGCUCUGUGAGCCAGCUUUCUUUGCAUGUCUAGGCCUAUGUUUUUCAUAUACCCCUAUAGAAUGUAACAGAAUGUAUCAUUGGGCCUUGUGCCUAUAAACCUUAUACAACUUUCAGCAACGGAUCUCUUGGCUCUCGCAUCGAUGAAGAACGCAGCGAAAUGCGAUAAGUAAUGUGAAUUGCAGAAUUCAGUGAAUCAUCGAAUCUUUGAACGCACCUUGCGCUCCUUGGUAUUCCGAGGAGCAUGCCUGUUUGAGUGUCAUUAAAUUCUCAACCUUAUUAACUUUUGUUGAUAAUGGAUUGGAUURUGGGGGUUUCUUUUGCUGGAUUCUUCACAGAGAUCAGCUCYCCUUAAAUGCAUUAGCUGGUGCCCCGYGUGGACCAUCUAUUGGUGUGAUAAUUAUCUACGCCGUGGAUGUCUGCAAUCAUAUGGGUUUUGCACUGCUUCUAACCGUCUGUUCAUUCGGACAAUACAUGACAAUUUGACCUCAAAUCAGGUAGGACUACCCGCUGAACUUAAGCAUAUCAAUAAGCGGAGGAAAAGAAACUAACAAGGAUUCCCCUAGUAACUGCGAGUGAAGCGGGAAAAGCUCAAAUUUAAAAUCUGGCGGUCUCCGG
rnacentral:rRNA from 1 species